ACCACCAUUAAUAGAAGGAGGAAGCAAACUUCCCCUUCUCCUCUCUUGGCCGGCCACCUACUUAGAGUAGGGGCCAAGGCAGCCACCCCUCCUCAAUCCCUAUAAAUAGAGGGGAGGGGCAAAGGGAUAGGAGAGGUUUUUCCAUACCCUUGCUGCCUCCUCUCCCCCUUCCUCUCCACCACUGCUCUGGCUUAGGCGAAGCCCUGCAGGAAAUCUUCUCCACCACCACCACCACGCCGUCGUGCUAUUGGAAUUCCGAGAAGGAUCUACUACAUCCGCUGCCUGCUGGAACGGGGAGAGGACGUCUUCAUCGACACCGUACGUGUGACCGAGUACGGAGGAGCUGCCCGCUUGCAGCACUAGAAGGACUACAUCUCGAACUUGAGUUCGGCAAGAGUACGACUACAUCACCCACGAGAUCCGAUCUCGUUUCCGCUUAGCGAUCUACAAGGAAAUCCUAGUAACGAAAUAUUCUCGGAAUCGGACGAAAUCAACGCCCAGGUUCCUAUUUUUCCCGGAACCAUCCAGAACACCCGAGAGCCGCCAGAGGGGAGCCCUGGGGGCCCCACACCACACCCCGGCGCGGCCAAGGGGGGGGGGCCCUAUAGUGUGGGCCCCCCAGAACCCCUCCGACUCCGAUUCUUCGCCUAUUUAAGCCGUCGUGACCUAAAACUUCGACACCAAUUGACGAGACUCCAGAAAGACUCCAGGGGCGCCGCCGCCAUCGCGAAACUCCAAUUCGGGGGACAGAACUCUCUGUUCCGAGCACCUCGCCGGACGGGGAAUUGCCCCCGGAGCCAUCUCCACCGCCGUCUUCACCGCCAUCUUCACCGCCAUCGCUGCCUCCAUGAUGAGGAGGGAGUAAUCCACCCCCGAGGCUGAGGGCUCCGCUGUAGCUAUGUGGUUCAUCUCUCUCCCAUGUACCUCAAUACAAUAAUCUCAUGAGCUGCUUUACAUGAUUGAGAUUCAUAUGAGUUUUGUAUCACUACUAUCUAUGUGCUACUCUAGCAAUGUUAUUAAAGUAGUUUUAUUCCUCCUGCACGUGUGUAAAGGUGACAGUGUGUGCACCGUGUUAGUACUUGGUUUAUGCUAUGAUCAUGAUCUCUUGUAGAUUGCGAAGUUAACUAUUGCUAUGAUAAUAUUGAUGUGAUCUAUUCCUCCUACAUAUGCAUGAAGGUGACAGUGUGCAUGCUAUGUUAGUACUUGGUUUAGUCCUUUGAUCUAUCUUACACUAUAAGGUUACUUAAAUAUGAACAAAUUGUGGAGCUUGUUAACUCCGGCAUUGAGGGUUCGUGUAAUCCUACGCAAUGCGUUCAUCAUCCAACAAAAGUGUAGAGUAUGCAUUUAUCUAUUCUGUUAUGUGAUCAA